AGUGGUAGCAGGUAAUUAGGAGCUAAAAUCAUGUUUAGGAAAUUCACUAAAUUUUGCUGUUGUCAGUGAAUAUAGUUGUGAAUGAACUAGACAAGACCUUGCAACACCAAAGAAAAAGCCACUUUCUGAAGGUGAGAAGAGGAAGAAGAAAAUUGUGCUUGGGAGUUUAAUGAAAGCGUGGUGAGGCCUGGUGGUGAUGAUCAGGAUAAGGAAAUAGAGUGGAGCAAGAGGCCAAGGCUUGGCUCAGAAGAAGAAAUUUAGUUUAGCAUCUGUGUCACUCUUUGUAUGACUACAAGCUAUAUGAAGGCUUGCCUCCCUUAUAAACUAUGGAGAUGGUCCCAUCUACUGCUGUUAGCAAAGUGUUACGUAGAGGAGGGGCAAAUAUAACUAAUUUCAGGAAGUAUCUUAAGGUGGGAUGUCAAGGUUUUGGGGCUUAGUUUGGAGUUGGAGAGAAAGGGGAAGAAAAUGGGCAGCUCACCAAGGAGGUGGUGGACACGGAUGCGGUGCAAUGAAACUAAAGUAUAUAUAUUCUAAGUAUAUGAGUUGGGCCCAGUUGUUGCUAUGCUGUGUCGGAUAGGGCAUCCUCCUAGCUCGAAGAGGAAGCCAAGUCAUCCUCCAAAGGCUGCUCCUGCUGGCGGUCCGGCUGCUGUUGCUGUGGUGGCAGCUGAAGCUUCAAGUGGCGACUCCUGUUCAUUGCUGUCUCUGAUCCUGCCACUGCCGUGACUGCAUUGCGGCCGGCACCCAUGGUUGUGCCUGCUAUUCAUCACAACCAGAAGAAUUUAGAAGAGCAUUUGGAGAAUACCAAUGUGGAUGAUUCUAGCUGCUGUUUGCAGUUUUUGCGGGUUUGAUAUUUACUUCUAAAUGAUGCAUUGAAGCUUUAUAAUAUAUAGAGCAUGAAGUGAUAAAUUAUCCAACACUGACAAUUCUAUGAUGAAAAUGCCAUGUCACUGACAUUUAGUAUUUUUGCG